rnacentral:rRNA from 1 species
ACCNUUUUAAAUUUUUUUUUCGUGGCUCAGAUUGAANNGCUGGCUGACAGCCCUUAACACCNGGCAAGUCGGANNGGUAGCACAGGGGCAGCUUGAUUCCCCGGGUGACGAGUGGCGGAACGGGUGAGUAAUGUCUGGGAAAACUGCCCGAUGGAGGUGGGAUAACUACUGGAAACGGUAGCUAAUACCGCAUAACGUCUUAGGACCAAAGUGGGGGAUGUUCGGACCUCACGCCAUCGGAUGUGCCCAGAUGUGAUUAGUUGGUAGGUGGGGUAACGGCUCACCUAGGCGACGAUCCUUAGCUGGUCUGAGAGGAUGUCCAGCCACACUGGAACUGAGACACGGUCCAGAUUCUUACGGGAGGCAGCAGUGGGGAUUAUUGCACAAUGGGCGCAAGCCUGAUGCAGCCAUGCCGCGUGUAUGAAGAAGGCCUUCGGUUUGUAAAGUACUUUCAGCGGGGAGGAAGGCGGUGAGGUUAAUAACCUCCCCGAUUGACGUUACUCGCANNAAGAAGCACCGGCUAACUCCGUGCCAGCAGCCGCGGUAAUACGGAGGGUGCAAGCGUUUAUCGGAAUUAUUGGGCGUAAAGCGCACGCAGGCGGUUUGUUAAUUCGGAUGUGAAAUCCCCGGGUUUAACCUGGGAACUGCAUUUGAAACUGGCAGGCUUGAGUCUGGUAGAGGGGGGUAGAAUUCCAGGUGUAGCGGUGAAAUGCGUAGAGAUUUGGAGGAAUACCGGUGGCGAAGGCGGCCCCCUGUACGAAGACUGACGCUCAGGUGCGAAAGCGUGGGGAGCAAACAGGAUUAGAUACCCUGGUAGUCCACCCCGUAAACGAUGUCGACAAGGAGGCUGUUGCCCCUGAGGCCGUGGCUUCCGGAGCUAAACGCGUUAAGUNCGACCGCCCGGGAGACGCAAA